UUGCACAAACAAUACAGAUGCGAUUGAUAUCGCUGCUAUUACUUGGAAUUACCAUCCCUCCCGGCCAAACAUAACCUGCCAUAGCAUUGGUUGCGGUACUGUACUCUCCGAUUACGUUCUAGAGUACGGGUCUAUUUUCAAAAUUGCCUUAAUAAUAAUUGUCUGUUUAGAGAUUGUGACAAUAGGUUUUGACAUGCUCAUCGCUUGCUCCAAGAAGAAAAAG